GGGAGUGUGGUUCAGUGGUACAGGGCUUGCCUAGCAUGUAUAAGCACCUGGGUUCAAUCCCCAGCACUGCCA
rnacentral:tRNA from 1 species